rnacentral:rRNA from 1 species
GACGAACGCUGGCGGCGUGCCUAAUACAUGCAAGUUGAGCGCUGAAGGCUGGUACUUGUACCAACUGGAUGAGCAGCGAACGGGUGAGUAACGCGUGGGGAAUCUGCCUUUGAGCGGGGGACAUCAUUUGGAAACGAAUGCUAAUACCGCAUAAAAACUUUAAACACAAGUUUUAAGUUUGAAAGAUGCAAUUGCACCACUCAAAGAUGAUCUCGCGUUGUAUUAGCUAGUUGGUGAGGUAAAGGCUCACCAAGGCGAUGAUACAUAGCCGACCUGAGAGGGUGGUCGGCCACAUUGGGACUGAGACACGGCCCAACCUCCUACAGGAGGCAGCAGUAGGGAAUCUUCGGCAAUGGACGAAAGUCUGACCGAGCAACGCCGCGGGAGUGAAGAAGGUUUUCGGAUCGUAAAACUCUGUUGGUAGAGAAGAACGUUGGUGAGAGUGGAAAGCUCAUCAAGUGACGGUAACUACCCAGAAAGGGACGGCUAACUACGUG